rnacentral:rRNA from 1 species
CCGGCUCUAACACAGUCCGGGAAUGACGGUACCUGAAGAAUAAGCACCGGCUAACUACGUGCCAGCAGCCGCGGUAAUACGUAGGGUGCGAGCGUUAAUCGGAAUUACUGGGCGUAAAGCGUGCGCAGGCGGUUAUACAAGACAGGCGUGAAAUCCCCGGGCUUAACCUGGGAAUGGCGCCUGUGACUGUAUAGCUAGAGUGUGUCAGAGGGGGGUAGAAUUCCACGUGUAGCAGUGAAAUGCGUAGAUAUGUGGAGGAAUACCAAUGGCGAAGGCAGCCCCCUGGGAUAACACUGACGCUCAUGCACGAAAGCGUGGGGAGCAAACAGGAUUAGAUACCCUGGUAGUCCACGCCCUAAACGAUGCUGACUAG